rnacentral:rRNA from 1 species
UCCGGUUGAUCCCGCCGGACCCUACUGCUAUCGGGGUGGGACUAAAACAUGCAAGUCGAGCGUCUCCAAGCCAUGGUGGAGACGCGGCGUACGGCUCAGUAACACGUGGCUAACCUACCCUUGGGACGGGAACACCCCCGGGAAACACUGGGGUUAAUUCCCGAUGGGUGAGGAGGCCUGGAAUGGUUCUUCGCUGAAAGGGCGUUAGAGGCAUGCUCUCUAACGUUGCCCAAGGAUGGGGCCGCGGCCGAUCAGGUUGUUGGUGAGGUAACGGCUUACCAAGCCUAUAACCGGUACGGGCCGUGAGAGCGGAAGCCCGGAGAUGGGCACUGAGAUAAGGGCCCAGGCCCUACGGGGCGCAGCAGUUGCGAAAACUCCGCAAUGCACGAAAGUGUGACGGGGCUACCCCGAGUGCCGUCCGCUGAGGAUGGCUUUUCUCCGCUGUAAGGAGGCGGAGGAAUAAGGAGAGGGCAAGACUGGUGUCAGCCGCCGCGGUAAUACCAGCUCUCCGAGUGGUAGGGAUGAUUAUUGGGCUUAAAGCGUCCGUAGCCGGCCUGGCAAGUCUUCCGUUAAAUCCAGCAACCUAAUUGUUGGGCUGCGGGGGAUACUGUUAGGCUAGGGGGCGGGAGAGGCCGACGGUAUUCUCGGGGUAGGGGUGAAAUCUUGUAAUCCCGAGAGGACCACCAGUGGCGAAGGCUGUCGGCUAGCACGCGCCUGACGGUGAGGGACGAAAGCUGGGGGAGCGAACCGGAUUAGAUACCCGGGUAGUCCCUGCUGUAAACGAUGCGGGCUAGGUGUUGGGGCGGCUACGAGCCGCUUCAGUGCCGCAGCGAAGGCGUUAAGCCCGCCGCCUGGGGAGUACGGCCGCAAGGCUGAAACUUAAAGGAAUUGGCGGGGGAGCACCACAAGGCGUGAAGCUUGCGGUUCAAUUGGAGUCAACGCCGGG